rnacentral:misc_RNA from 1 species
UUCUUCUUCUUCUUCUUCCUCCUCUUCCACUUCCAUCUCCACUUCUUCUGCAGCUCCGCCCCACCUCGUCGACGCGUCUCUCGCCAUCGCCACUAGAUCUGGGCCUUUUUUAGGCUCAGCAAAGAAGAAUCAGCAGCAGCAGAAUCUUUCCAUAGUUACAACCACAUCGACAACCACCUCCACCACCACUUAUGUAGCAGCAACACCAGCGAAGCGGUCCACGAAGGACCGACACACGAAGGUAGAUGGUAGAGGACGGAGAAUCAGAAUGCCAGCAACUUGUGCAGCCAGGGUUUUUCAAUUGACAAGAGAAUUGGGUCAUAAAUCUGAUGGGGAAACAAUUGAGUGGUUGUUACGGCAAGCAGAACAUGCUAUUAUAGCUGCCACAGGGACUGGGACUAUACCAGCAAAUUUUUCCACCCUCAAUAUUUCGUUAAGGAGUAGUGGAUCUACCCUUUCAGCUCCGCCUUCGAAAUCUGCUCCUCAUUCGUUUCAUGGAGCCUUGGCUUUGGCUCAUCAUCCUCAUUAUGAAGAAGGGUUUGCCCAUACAGCGUUGUUGGGGUUUCACCAUCAGCUGCAGCAUCAGCAGCACCUGAUGGCAGCAGAUCAAGUAGCUGAAGCGCUGCCAAGUGGUGGUGGUGAAAGAGGAGGAGGGGAAAGUGGUGGUGUUGCUGGGGGAGAUUCUGGUGAGAAUUAUAUGAGAAAACGUUUUAGAGAAGAUUUAUUCAAGGAGGAUAGUCAACAACAGCAACAAGGAGAAAGUGUUAGUGGUGGUACUAGCGGAGGUGGUGUUGGAGGAGGAUCUCCCAUUAAAGGAUUCAAAAGUGGUUUGCAGCUACCAAAACCUCAGCAACAAGACACAGUAUCUUCUGGAAUACUUAGGUCUUCAAAUAUCCUACCUGCCACUGCCAUGUGGGCAAUGGCACCAGCACCAAGCAGUGGCAGCACAAUCUGGAUGCUGCCAGUGACUGCUGGUGGCUCCGGUAGUGGCCCGGCAGUUGCCACCGGCACAACUGGAGCUGGACCCUCAGAACCCCAACCCCAGAUGUGGCCUUUUUCUACAGCAACACCACCAAGCGUAAACUCUGUACAAGCUCCGUUGCAUUUUAUGCCAAGAUUCAAUCUUUCAGGUAAUCUUGAAUUUCAAGGUGGAAGAGGAAAUGCUUUACAACUGGGUUCCAUGUUAAUGCAGCAACAACAACCUUCACAACAUCUUGGGUUAGGCAUGGCAGAGUCAAAUUUGGGGAUGUUAGCUGCUCUUAAUGCAUAUUCUAGAGGUGGUUUGAAUAUAAAUUCCGAGCAAAAUAAUCCAUUGAAUCAACAUCAUCAACACCAGCAACCUCAAGAUACUAAUAGUGGAGAUGAAGAUCCCAAUAGUUCUCAAUGACAAGCUUAAUAAGUGGGUUUGUUGCUCUCAUUUUAAAUACAUAAAUAUGACAGCUUGAUGGCUAUGGUUUUUUUUUUUUCACAUUUUAUUGCAUAGGAAGUAGCAGGAGCUAGAGAUUGUUGUUGGGUUUGCUUUCACAGAUUUGGGAAUUGAAUUUGUGUCAAGUUCUUGGAAAUUCCAUGGAUGAUGGAGGCUGAGAUUGAUCAGUGUCCUAGCAAUUUCCAUUUUGGUUUUGGUUUGUUAGUUUUUGAAUUCUUCUAGAUUGAUCAUGUGGAGUAGUUUGAGAUGUAAUUUGUUAGUUUGGUUCAAAAUGGGACAAAAACAGAGGGGAAAAAUAGAGAGACGGAGAGCUAGAGUUUGUAUAGGAGGAUAUUUGUUUGUGUUUAGUAUAAUUAUUUGCUUCUUGUCCAUUCUCAUAAAAACAAAGCAAAUAAUUAUACUA